UCCGCUCGACUUGCUGGCGUCUCCUGGUCUCCAGCCGCCGGUGCCACACUGCCACCUCUCUUGUAGUACGCUCUGACACCUUCUGCCGUGAGUACACCAAUAUCCACCUCGAGCGCUGCCUGCCUGCUGCCUCCCAUGUCCCAGAUGCACCGAUGCGCUUCUCAGAGUUUCUGAAACAAAUCUUGUUAACCCUCUUUAUUUCGGUUUCCAGAGAAUGGGGAGAGAGAACUGGAGGCGAUGAUAGGCUUGUGGCAUUGUCGCCGUCGCUUGAGUCGCUGGAGGUUCCGAAUAUUUGGAUUCCUGCUGACUAUUGGGUAAUUCAACCACCGAAUCUCCAGAGAUUCACUAUUGUUUCAGCCUUUCAGGUUAUUAUCGGUGGCAAAUAUCUCGGACGGAGCUCGUCUCUCCAAUUCGGGGAAUUCAGUACUGAAGAGACAUUGGAGGCAAUUUCGUCCGACGUUUGGCCCAAGUCAGGUUGCUCGAGUUUCAUAUGCUAGUAGCCUAGUAAAUUUUACAUCACAGGCUUCAAAUUCAUCUUACCUGCUUAUCAUUGGUAAGCCGUGAAAAUUCUGUAGUUUUUAACUGUAUUGGUUACAUUAGCCCACGAAACCUUUAGUGCCGUGUCUGUGUGUGAGUUUACUAGGUCAACUCCUAUGAUUGAUGUGUAGGUAGUUGUAGCUUGAUGUUAGGUGCAAGAUACAAAGUUACACUAUUGUUGUUUUCACAGUUCAAUUGGAUAUACCAAUCUCAGUUCAAUUCAGGUAUGAAAACUUCCCCAUUAAAGUUCACAAUUACAAUUGAACUAUGAAAAAAAAUCAUAAUCAAAUUUAUUCAUUUGGAUGUCUGUUGUAUUUUAUAAAUAACACAUACAUCAUUGCGACUGCUAGUAUUUACUUGAGGUUCUAGUCUUCUAGACUGUCUACGGUCAAGGUGAAGAAAAGGCACAUAACAUAAAUAUAAAUAUUCCUCAAUUAUCUAGAUGACAAUUAGAGUUGCAUGAAAUGUGUUGUGUUGAGAAUCGACAUGUUACUAGGUUUUAGUUUUUUUUUUUCCUUUUUAGGUCACACAAGAAAUUGCAUUUCUAGUCAAGUUAUUACUGGCUAGUUUACACAAAAAAAGCCCCCUUGAGCACAUGGCCGCAUGCAGAUUAAACCAGCCUUGCUAACAUAGCUGCUGCAACUCAAGAAGGGCUGCAGGAAUGGAUGAUCAUGAGCCUCGCCCAAACAUCUUUAUGAGGAUGACCUCCUUCCUGUUUCAGCAGUACUAUCUUUUUCACCUGCAGCUGAUUUUUCUCCAUCAUUUUCUUGCCUUCAAUUUUAUGUUCGUGAUGGAUAUUAAGACAAACCCUUGAUCAUGAGAUUUAGAAGAUCUUAAUUAGGCUGAGAGCCUUUUAUCCUCACUUUUUAUUUUUAUUUUCCUGUCUUGACCUGUAGUUUGUGUGCUUCUUAACACCUUGGAGCCUUGAACCUUGAGCGGAAAGACAUGGUCGUGAUAAUGGAAUGUUGGCACAGGUGGACGUGUGGAUUCCAGUUCAUCAUUGAUUGCAUUGCGGUACAUAGAUUCAAAUUUAGCGAUUCCUUUGGAUGUGGUUGGUGUUUCCUUCAGUUUGGGUGUCUAAUUGCAGUUCAAAGUAGUAGAGACUAGAGAGUUGUGACCCUGCCACACUUGCUGUUGGGAAUGUUAAAAUAAAUUGGUGCAGUCUAUAAUUAUGUUGAACUCUCAUGUGCUUUAUAUACCAGAAUCCUGUGUAAUUAAUAACUACGGUGUUCAGGUUUAUGAAAGAUUUUCUAUUUCAUACAAGUAUAAUCUGGAGCAUGAUUUUCUCCAUUUUGGUAUUUCUAUGUAUUUUCCUCAAAUACACAUCCUUUGCUCAUAUUGAGCAUAACACUUAUGAAUAUUAAUUUGGUAACAAAAUGGUCUCUGCCCACAUGGUUCAGUUUGAGGGAUCAGACAUUACAUGUGAUACAUCAGUACAUGUAAUUUCAGUCAAUCAACAUUUCAAUCACCAAAGUGGCAUUCUUUCUUGUUUGAGAACCUAAAGAUGUUAGUCUUAUCUGUUGAUUUUUGUAGAUAGACAUCCAACAUUUAUCAUCAACCAGUUUACUUGGGUGCACCUAUUCUUGAAUCAACUUAAACUUGGGUAAUGUCGACCGCCAGUAAGUGCAUAUUUCAGUACUUAUUCAAAUGAUUCCAUGUGUAUUUUUUUUAACAGGGUUGGAGUUAUGGUAGUCCAGAAGUCUAGCAAAUUUGCCAGUGCAGAACAGCUGUUACUAGAAGCAAGUAAGUUCAUCUUUGAAGGAGGAUGCUAAUUGGAGCAACCCGAGAGAGAGACGAGCAGCGGAAAUUCAGCAAUGUUCCAAGAGCAUGAGUGCAUGACGUAUACAGUAUACUAGUAGGAAUCAUUCAGCUUAUCAUGCAGGUUCAGUGUUACAACUAACUUAUAAAAAAUGCAGCUUGAUGUGGUUUCUACAAGCUAUCAUGCUUACCAGUCUGAAGAAUCAUGGACAUCCAAUGGAUGAGCAGGUACGUAUGAAAUUAUCCAAAUUUAUCAAUGCUCUGAUUCUGCAUCACAAUAUCUUUCACAAAACUCGAUUUCAUGUGGCACUUUGGAUGCCGUCAUUGAUUAUUUGCCUAUUAACAAAAAAAAGAUAUGGGAAAUAUAUCUGUAUUGCACAGCACCACACUGUCAUCUCAAAAUGGAGCCUUGUAUUGACCCCAGCGCAUUGUAAGUCCCAAACGGAGCCCAACACAUGUGAGUUGUAGUUGAGAUGUCAAGGUACUAACCAUGCACCAAAAGAGCAAUUCUGUACAAAUCCACAUCCUGAAGGAAUGAUUGCGGGAGUACCCAUGCAAAUAAGUCUCAGGGGGGUAUGAAAGAAAGCUAAGCCUAGUGAAACUGACAUUUCCUGACCAAUUAUUGUGCUCUAUCUCAAUUCAGCCUUCUAUCACAAGUGGUCUUUUCAGGGGAAUUAUUGGUGGACUUGCUCGAUUGGGAGUGGCCCCUUCUAGUCAAAUUUCCAUUAUAUGUUUCUCUACCAAAAAAAAAUCCUGAAUCUGCUUAAAUUCUUUUGCAAGUAGUAAUACUUCGCAUCCAUCUGUACUGCAUCCAAACUAAUCCAUUUCUCAGGAUGCUAGUGUUGUACCAUUGGUGUACCAAUGGAAUUUCAGCACGUGCUUUCCGGGAAAUGCCAAAGUGCAUGGAGGUGCGUGAUUGCGAUAACUAUUUUUAGAUGUUCAACAUGUUAUAGCAGCAAAUAACUCGGGUGGCACCGUGGCAGAAUGAUACGGAGUAAAAGCUUAACGCCUCUUAUUCUAAAGGGUGUUCAGUUGAAAUGUUUGUUGUUCAAAGAUAGCAGUAUGGUGUAAAAGACACUGCAGACAAUCUUAUUUCUCUCUAUAUUCACGGUGAAAUCUUUUCUGCCUGA